rnacentral:rRNA from 1 species
AAUCAACGCUGGCGGCGUGCCUCAGACAUGCAAGUCGAACGAUUAAAGCUCUCUUCGGAGAGUGCAUAAAGUGGCGCACGGGUGAGUAACACGUAAGUAAUCUACCUUCGAGUGGGGAAUAACGUCCGGAAACGGACGCUAAUACCGCAUAACGCAGCGGCAUCGCAAGAUGACAGUUGUUAAAGAUUUAUCGCUUGAAGAGGAGCUUGCGGCAGAUUAGCUUGUUGGUAAGGUAACGGCUUACCAAGGCUACGAUCUGUAUCCGGUCUAAGAGGACGGUCGGACACACUGACACUGAAUAACGGGUCAGACUCCUACGGAGGCAGCAGUCGGGAAUUUUGGGCAAUGGGGAAACCCUGACCCAGCAACGCCGCGUGAGUGAAGAAGGCCUCGGUCGUAAGC